rnacentral:rRNA from 1 species
UAGAUACCCUGGUAGUCCACGCAGUAAACGAUGAAUACUAACUGUCCGUGUCGAUUGAGACCUGGGUGGUACAGCGAAAGCGUUAAGUAUUCCACCUGGGGAGUACGCCGGCAACGGUGAAACUCAAAGGAAUUGACGGGGGCCCGCACAAGCGGAGGAACAUGUGGUUUAAUUCGAUGAUACGCGAGGAACCUUACCCGGGCUCAAACGACGGAUGAAUGUUUUUGAAAGGAGGCAGCCCUUCGGGGCGUCCGUCGAGGUGCUGCAUGGUUGUCGUCAGCUCGUGCCGUGAGGUGUCGGCUUAAGUGCCAUAACGAGCGCAACCCCCAUCGCCAGUUACCAUCAAGUAAAGUUGGGGACUCUGGCGAGACUGCCGGCGCAAGCUGCGAGGAAGGCGGGGAUGACGUCAAAUCAGCACGGCCCUUACGUCCGGGGCGACACACGUGUUACAAUGGCAGGCACAGAGAGAAGCGACAUGGCGACAUGAAGCGGAACUG